UGCCCGGGACNAAAGGGGGGACCUGAAUAAGGUUGCCCGAUGACGGUACCGGGAGAAUAAGCCACGGCUAACUCUGUGCCAGCAGCCGCGGUAAGACAGAGGUGGCAAGCGUUGUUCGGAGUUACUGGGCGUAAAGAGUCUGUAGGUGGUCUGUCAAGUCUUUGGUGAAAGGCCGUGGCUUAACCAUGGGAAUGCCAAAGAGACUGGCAGACUGGAGGCUGGGAGAGGGAAGCGGAAUUUCUGGUGUAGCGGUGAAAUGCGUAGAUAUCAGAAGGAAGGCCGGUGGCGAAGGCGGCUUCCUGGAACAGACCUGACACUGAGAGACGAAAGCGUGGGGAGCAAACAGGAUUAGAUACCCUGGUAGUCCACGCCCUAAACGAUGGGUACUAAGUGUGGGAGGGUUAAACCUCCCGUGCCGCAGCCAACGCAGUAAGUACCCCGCCUGGGGAGUACGGCCGCA
rnacentral:rRNA from 1 species